rnacentral:rRNA from 1 species
UACAGAGGGUGCGAGCGUUAAUCGGAAUUACUGGGCGUAAAGCGCGCGUAGGCGGCUUUGCAAGUCGGGUGUGAAAGCCCCGGGCUCAACCUGGGAAUUGCAUUCGAGACUGCAUUGCUGGAGUACGGAAGAGGAAGGCGGAAUUCCCGGUGUAGCGGUGAAAUGCGUAGAUAUCGGGAGGAACAUCAGUGGCGAAGGCGGCCUUCUGGUCCAGUACUGACACUCAAGUGCGAAAGCGUGGGGAGCAAACAGG